CUACAUAGUCUCGCCCCGCUCCUGGGGGCGGGGCAAGACUACUGCCUACUACUUUGAGGAUGGCUAGUAAGAAUAUGAGAGCUGACAAGCCGAAAACAGUUUUAGGUCUAAACAUGAAAUGAGUAUCACUUUAUGACGAGAGAUAAAAGUCUGUAACUCUGGUCCCAGUUGAUAAAGUUACUUAUGUAACUCAUGAUCCAGAGGAUCAGUGCUACUUUGGAGUUAUCAUACAAACUAAGGAGUCUCACACUGGAUUUAGACUCUACCUCUUCAAAGCUGAGAGACCUAUAGUACAUUAUCAUGUCAUUAUGAUCAUACAUACAGUACAUGAACAGUUUCUGCAUGUAAAACUUGAUACCUGAUGUCUGCAUGAACUGGAUAGUAACUAGAAAACAAUUUUGACUUUAAUUUUACUAUCCUAUCAUUUUUAGGCUGUUACAUUUGUGUAACUAUUAUUCCUAACUCAUUAUCUAUUCAUGAUACUAAUGAUUAUUAAUGUUUAUUAAUGAGUUGUAAUUAUUAUUCUUAGUUCUUCUUGUGAUAAGAUUUUUGCUACAAA